rnacentral:rRNA from 2 species
UAGAGUUUGAUCCUGGCUCAGAAUCAACGCUGGCGGCGUGCCUCAGACAUGCAAGUCGAACGCGAAAGUCCCCUUCGGGGGACAAGUAGAGUGGCGUCCGGGUGAGUAACACGUAGGUAAUCUACCUUCGGGUGGGGAAUAACGCAGGGAAACUUGCGCUAAUACCGCAUAAUGCAGCGGCACCACAUGGUGACAGUUGUUAAAGCGGGGGAUUUUCGAACCUCGCGCCUGAAGAGGAGCCUGCGGCAGAUUAGCUAGUUGGUAGGGUAACGGCUUACCAAGGCAACGAUCUGUAGCCGGCCUGAGAGGGCGGUCGGCCACACUGACACUGACAUACGGGUCAGACUCCUACGGGAGGCAGCAGUCGGGAAUUUUGGGCAAUGGGCGAAAGCCUGACCCAGCAACGCCGCGUGAAGGAUGAAAUCCCUCG